ensembl:lncRNA
AGAGAAUCGAGUCAGCGGCGAUCUUGAGUUUUAAUGGCCUGGAAGAGAGUGAACUGACGGCGCGGACAAAUUACCAAGUAAGGAUUGCAGCAAGUCAAUCCAGUCAAAAGUGUAGAGAACUAUUUUCCUAAAAAGGAAAACGAGAUAAAACAAAUGAUUGAGCUCAUUUUGCUGAUGUGGAGCAUCUGAUGACGUGCGCAGAAGGCUGCAGUAUCAGCAAAAAAUAUCAUGUGUGAAUGCAUGUGAGUGAAUGCGAGUGAUCGGACCGAGAGGGGAAAUAAAUAAAAGGUUGACAAACAGGAGGAGUGGAAGACUUAAUUCUGGGGAUGUUGAUGUUUGUUUUGAGAAAAUUAUUUACUGGGGUUGGAUUAUGUUAUUACAUUAUAGAAUGCCAAAUGCUAAAAGGGAAACAUUGUUUGAGGUAACUCAAGUUACCAUUAGCUGAGGUAACACAUGAUUAAUAACUGUUCUGUUUAAGUUUAUUUUGUGUUAUAACACAGGUUGGAUCAUAAGUGGGGAAAUUGAGUAUGAAAUGUGAAGUUCUGGUUAACACACAGGUUUUUGUUUUGUUGGGAUUUAGAGAUUCUUUUAUUGCUGCCAUAUAAUCUGCCUUAUGAUAAAUGCAUUAAUAACAUGUUCUACAGUAUUAUUUUAUCAGUAAUAUUGUUUACAGGGUUCAUAUUGCAUUGAAUAUGUUUGUCAUCACAUUCAUUUUAUUCACAGGUUGAGUUCAUUCUAUACACAAUGCAUAACUGUGCUUGUUUAGAGUUGAUGUUCUAUCCAAGAGGGUUUUAAGCUUCACUGGUGAGAGUGUCCAGGUGAUACAUGUUGAGGGAAGAUGAGAACAUAGCAGGUUAAUUGCAUGCAUGCUUACAAUACACAUAAAUCUAGCAACAGGCCUGAGCGAAGGCCCAAGUGUCUUCUGCUUCUUAUUUGAGACCUGCGCCAAUUCAGUCUACUUAGUGAUUGAGGACGAGGGUCCAUUAUUAGCCCUUAGAGGCCCUGAAGCUUGAAGUUAUUACCUUAAAAGGAAGGUGUUAUCAAAAAAGAAGUUAUAUGUCUGUUUAUAGUUAUUAGAGAUGUACAAGAUGUACCCUUGUCUGUAAACAAUGACUGGACAUAAUGUAUUUUUGACCUGUACUGACGUGUAUGUGGGGGUGUGAUCCUCUAUGCUAUAAAACCAGAACUCAGUGUAUUUCUGUCAGAGCAAAUAAGCCAUAUGCUGACGGUUGUUCUCCGUUGUCAAUAAACUCAUCGUUUGAUUGCACUUUUCUGGGCCUCCGUCGUUUGUUGUCUGGUCUACAGUUGAUCCAUCUCGCUUCAUUUGGUGGAGGAUGCAGGGCAACUAAAGAUCAGCAGUAAGAGGUACAGGUGUUUGUUGUCGGCGGAGGUCGAGGCCAGAUCAGGUGAUUGAACGGCAGACGUCACGGUGAUCGCUUG